UGGGGUGUAGCUCAGUGGUAGAGCUCAUACCUGCCAUGCUUGGUGCCUUGGGUUAAAUCUCCAGCACUCAAA
rnacentral:tRNA from 1 species